UACGUAGGGGGCAAGCGUUGUCCGGAAUCAUUGGGCGUAAAGCGCGUGUAGGCGGCCCGGUAAGUCCGCUGUGAAAGUCCAGGGCUCAACCCUGGAAUGCCGGUGGAUACUGUCGGGCUCGAGUCCGGAAGGGGCGAGUGGAAUUCCUGGUGUAGCGGUGAAAUGCGCAGAUAUCAGGAGGAACACCGGUGGCGAAGGCGGGUCUCUGGGCCGUAACUGACGCUGAGGAGCGAAAGCAUGGGGAGCGAACAGG
rnacentral:rRNA from 1 species